rnacentral:piRNA from 1 species
UGUUCUGUUUGUGCACAUGGGCUUAAAUA